rnacentral:rRNA from 1 species
CUGGCGGCGUGCUUAACACAUGCAAGUCGAACGGAGCGAAUGAAAGCUUGCUUUUAUGAGCUUAGUGGCAAACGGGUGAGUAACACGUAGACAACCUGCCGAUAGGAUGGGGACAACAUUCCGAAAGGAAUGCUAAUACCGAAUGAAGUGUGGGGGAGGCAUCUCCCCUAUAUGAAAGAUGGCCUCUAUAUAUAAGCUAUCACCUAUCGAUGGGUCUGCGUCUGAUUAGCUAGUAGGUAAGGUAACGGCUUACCUAGGCGACGAUCAGUAGCCGGUCUGAGAGGAUGAACGGCCACAUUGGGACUGAGACACGGCCCAGACUCCUACGGGAGGCAGCAGUGGGGAAUCUUCCGCAAUGGGCGCAAGCCUGACGGAGCAACGCCGCGUGAGUGAAGAAGGUCUUCGGAUCGUAAAGCUCUGUUGAAGGGGACGAACGUACAUAGUGCGAAUAGUGCUGUGUAAUGACGGUACCUUUGAGAA